rnacentral:misc_RNA from 1 species
GAUGAAGAACGUAGCGAAAUGCGAUACGUAAUGUGAAUUGCAAAUUCAGUGAAUCAUCGAGUCUUUGAACGCACAUUGCGCCCCCUGGUAUUCCGGGGGGCAUGCCUGUCCGAGCGUCAUUGCUGCCCUCAAGCACGGCUUGUGUGUUGGGCCCCGUCCUCCGAUCCCGGGGGACGGGCCCGAAAGGCAGCGGCGGCACCGCGUCCGGUCCUCGAGCGUAUGGGGCUUUGUCACCCGCUCCGUAGGCCCGGCCGGCGCUUGCCGAUCAACCCAAAUUUUUAUCCAGGUUGACCUCGGAUCAGGUAGGGAUACCCGCUGAACUUAAGCAUAUCAAUAACGGAGGA